rnacentral:lncRNA from 1 species
AUGUGUGAAGAUUUAGGAAUAUAAUCGUAUGAAAUCAUGCGAUUCAUUGCAUUACUACCUAUAUGACCUAGUCUAUAAUACCAAAAAACAUUCACAUCAUCAACAAUAUAAGUAGAAGCACUUGAAACUUUAUUCAUACUUUAUUCAUACAUAUUGUCUUUAGCAUAUUCUUGAGAGUGUGAACUUUUCCAAAAGAAAGCGGAAGUUGCACAGUGUGAAUUCCUAUAACAGCACAAGUGGUGGAGUUGCCCAUGUAAACUAUUUUCUCACCCUUUACAUCUUUAUAUGUUUUGAAAACACUUUUGAAUGGAGUGACAUGGCAAGUUGUUCCAGAAUCUAACCACCAUUCUUCUUGCUAUCCAUCAUAAUAAUCUUAGUAAGAACAACAACCAUUUCUUCUUCUUGCUCCAUGAUAUUGGCUUCUUCUUUUUAUCUUUCUUACCUUUGUGAAAUUUACAAACUCUAGCCAAAUAUCCUAUCUUACCACAUACAAAGCAAGGUCAUCUGUUCUUCUUACUAGUACCAUUAUUGGAAUCGAAUCUUUUGUUAUAAUCAGAAGUCUUGUUUCUAUUGUGAAACUUGUUAAUCUUGGUUUUAGCAGAUUUUGAGGAUGUGGAAUUUUCAACAUUAUGUACUUUAUCCUUUCCAUUGUAAACAGGCAAAUCUCUAUUUCUAACCUCAUACUCAAUUUGAAUAUGCUGAAGUAAUUGAUCCAAAUUUAGAGACUUAGUCUUGUGCUUUAAUUUCAUUUUAUAAUCUUUUUAAGUAGGAGGAAGUUUACCAAUAAUAGUAGAAACAUGAAAAGUCUCAGUAAUUGGCUCCCCCGCAUCAACACAUGGAGAGACAAUUUCAUCUAAUUCAUUUACUUGAUCAAUAACAGGUUUGGAAUCAUCCAUCUUAAAAUCAAUCUACUUGUUAAUUAAGAAGGAUCUAUUUCCAGUAUUUUCUAUUACAUACCUUCGCGAGAUGGCAGCCCACAACUCAUAUGCAGGGUAGCACUUGUGAAACACAUUGAGGAGGGCAUUACUCAUUGCAUUCAGGAUCAUUGAGAGGCACACAAAAUCAUCUUCUAGCCAUUUUUAUUGUGAGUCCGAAAGCUGCCUAUCUGCUUUUCCAUCUUGUGGAUAUGAAACAAGUCAAGACAUAGUAGACUUUUGCAAUUGUCAAUUGAUACAUCAUCUUCAUACUCCAACGCUUGUGGUUCAUCCCGUUGAACUUUUCAAGCCUCUCCACAUCUUGAAAUUGUUUGCCCGUCAAAAAGGAGUCCAUUGAAUCGGAAUAGUUACUAUCUUAAAAUUGUUUAAUAAAUAUGUUGAAAAUAAACCAAUGGAGUAAACUCAAGUAAGAUAAUCUAAUAAGAAAUUUGAAAUGAGUAGACAAGGCGUUUCCAGAAAACUAUCUUUAGAAUAGUAGUUUCCCCCACACGGUUAAAGGAAAAUCUAUCCCCAAGAUACAAUGCCUACUGUAGAGAUCAAAGUUGCACUCUUUGAUUUCCCAACCACAAGAACUCAACCCAAAAGGAUGAAGGAUUUGAAAGAAAGUAAUUGACGAAAAUUUGAUGUAUAUAAACAGAUCUUAUGAUAGACAGAGAAAUGUUGUAUAUAUAAUUGCUUAGAGGUUCUUUAGAAUCCUGUAGAAUACCCUUUAUAUAGACAAGCCCUCGAC